UGACUUUAUUAUAAAAGGACCCACUAUGAAAACACAGUUUUACAGUGUUAUUCGUGUCUUUCCUUUUACUUUACAGCACUGACAGGCUUUCCUGUGUAACACUGAUUCAAGUUUUCCACCAUUGUAUUUAUCCAAAUGAGGUUCUCAGGGAUCCCCAGUUGAAGGCAUCAGGACAUCAGAUGUUGGCCUGGACAGAUGUACCAACAGUACACCACAAAGACCUCUGCUUUUAAAUGGAUGGCUGAUUACUACCAUGUUCUGUGAGGGUAUUACUAUAGCAAAACUGAGCACCUGUGACAGUGGGAUUUCUAAUUUUAAAGAAUAGUCAUACAUCAGUAAAUUAUUUUUUUAUU